UGCUUAAUCCAUGCAACGCGAAGUCUUUUCCUGGCCAUGCAUGUCGAACGGCAGCACAGGAGAGCUUGCUCUCUGGGUGGCGAGUGGCGGACGGGUGAGGAAUACAUCGGAAUCUACUCUGUCGUGGGGGAUAACGUAGGGAAACUUACGCUAAUACCGCAUACGACCUACGGGUGAAAGCAGGGGACCUUCGGGCCUUGCGCGAUUGAAUGAGCCGAUGUCGGAUUAGCUAGUUGGCGGGGUAAAGGCCCACCAAGGCGACGAUCCGUAGCUGGUCUGAGAGGAUGAUCAGCCACACUGGAACUGAGACACGGUCCACACUCCUACAGGAGGCAGCAGUGGGGAAUAUUGGACAAUGGGCGCAAGCCUGAUCCAGCCAUACCGCGUGGGUGAAAAGGGCCUUCGGGUUGUAAAGCCCUUUUGUUGGGAAAGAAAUCCAGCUGGCUAAUACCCGGUUGGGAUGACUGGUACCCAACCAACAAA
rnacentral:rRNA from 1 species